rnacentral:tRNA from 1 species
GCACUAGUGGUAUAGUGGUAGCAUAGGUCCUUGCCACGUCAGCUGUACGACAGUACGGUGCCGUACGGACCAGACCCGAGUUCGAUUCUCGGCUAGUGCA